rnacentral:rRNA from 1 species
GAUGAACGCUGGCGGCGUGCCUAAUACAUGCAAGUCGAGCGAACAGACGAGGAGCUUGCGCCGCUGACGUUAGCGGCGGACGGGUGAGUAACACGUGGAUAACCUACCUAUAAGACUGGGAUAACUUCGGGAAACCGGAGCUAAUACCGGAUAAGAUAUUGAAACGCAGGGGGCAAUAGUGAAAGACGGUUUUGCUGUAACUUAUAGAGGGAUCCGCGCCGUAUUAGGUAGUUGGUAAGGUAAAGGCUUACCAAGGCGACGAUGCGUAGCCGACCGGAGAGGCGGAUAGCCCGCAUUGGAACGGGGACGCCGACCAUGCUCCUGCGGGAGGCAGCAGUAGGGUAUCUUCCGCAAUGGGCGAAAGCCUGACGGAGCAACCCCGAGCCUGUGAUGACAAUCUUCGGAUCGUAAAGCUCUGUUAUUAGUGAAGAACCACUUUCUCAGUAGCUGUGCACGUCUUGACGGUACCUAGUCAGAAAGCCCCGGCUAACUACGUG